rnacentral:rRNA from 1 species
UACGUAGGGUGCAAGCGUUAAUCGGAAUUACUGGGCGUAAAGCGUGCGUAGACGGUUAUUUAAGUCGGGUGUGAAAGCCCCGGGCUCAACCUGGGAAUUGCGAUGGAGACUGCAAGGCUUGAAUCUGGCAGAGGGGGGGUAGAAUUCCACGUGUAGCAGUGAAAUGCGUAGAGAUGUGGAGGAACACCGAUGGCGAAGGCAGCCCCCUGGGUCAAGAUUGACGCUCAUGCACGAAAGCGUGGGGAGCAAACAGG